CGCCGCCUAAAACUCACCGACUUACGAAGUUUCCGAUUUCCACAAUGAUGGUAAUGCGAAUUUGACCGUUCAGAUUAACUUUAUCUAGCCGUUUAUCUCCCCUCUAAUUGUCUAUAAAUUGGAUCGCCCAGCCUUGUUCAUCAAUCAUCAGGAAGCCGGUGGUUCGGGUUGGUAUUAUUUUUCGGUGUUGCUUUUGUUAUUGGUGGUCGUGUGUCAUUGAUUUCAAUUAUUGGAUUGAGCAUAGGAAAUUCGAUGGUAUGAAUCCCCCUUGUGGAUUUUCGUGUUUUUGAAAGAACUUUGGUUUUCUCGUUCAUCCCUUGAAUUCCAACGUGAAGAUAUUAUCAUUUCCCUGCUCUGAUGAUAGAUGUAUUGGUAAUCAUUCCAACAAUCUGGGUUUAUGGUAUUUUCUCGAUUCCCGUAUUUUUGGAAGAACUUGGGUUUUCUCGUUCAUUCCUUGGAUUCUAACGUGAAGAUAUUAUGAUUUCUUGGUCUGAUGAUAGAUAUACUCUUGAAUUCUAACGUGAAGAUAUUAUGAUUUCGUGGUCUGAUGAUAGAUAUACUGGUAAUCAGUCCAAGAACCUAGGUUCAUGGUUAUUUUCUUGAUGCUCAUUAUUUGAAGCUUGGAUCUUUCUGAUAAUUCUUUGGCAGUUCUAUCCCGUUUUCCUCCGUUUUGUGGGGUUUUCUUUCUUGGUUUGUUAAUAUUAGAUAUUGUGAUUUCCUGGUCCGAUGAUCAAGCAGAUAAUCACUCAACUCUGGGUUUCUGGUAUUUUCUUGACACUCUUCUGAUGAUUCUCCAUGGGUUUUUCUUCCCUGAUUUGAUCAAGUUUGAUUUAUCGUUUAUCCCUUUAAUCCUAACUUGAAGGUGUUGUGAUUUCCUUGUCCGAGACCAUCAUUUAAAGAACCCGGGUUGCUGGUAAUUUCUUGAUACUCAUGAUUGGAACAUUGGCCUUUAUGUUUAUCCCGUUUUCCUCCGUUUUGUUGGGUUUUCUUUUUUGGUUUGGCAGAUGCUUGUGGUCGUCCAAGCUUUUAGUAAUUUUGUAUUGAUUCCAGUUACUGGAUCGAGAAUAAGAACUUAUGAUAUGAUUUGAUUAGUUACUUUUCUCUCCUGUGUAGUUCUCAUAAUUUUGCAAAAACGGGAUUUUUUUGUUUAGCACUUGAAUCCUAACUUGAAAGUAUAUAGUGUUUUCUUGAUAUCCUGACAAUAAUUUCAAGAAUCUGGGUUUCUGGUAUUUUCUUGAUAUUCAUUAUGCAAACUUGGUCUUUCUGAUUUUUCUUCUUUGGUUCAGCAGUUGCUGAUUUUGGUAUUUUGGUGGCAGUACAAGUGUUGAUAAUUUUUUAUCGAUUACUAUUAGUGGGGUGGGAAGAAGUUUUGAAGGUUUGGAGUUUUUUUCUCUGGCCGAAACUUUGGAUUUUUAUUUAUUUUUAUUUAUCCAUUGAAUCCUAAUUAUGAUUUCCUUGUAUGAUGAUGAUAAUAAUAGAUAUACUGACAUUAAUUCCAAGAAGCUUUGGAAGGAUGAGUUUUGGUGAUAUUGCAAACUGGUAUUUUCUUAAUACUAAUUAUUUUUAAUCUUGGGUUUUCAUGAGGAUUUUUUGGUGGUUUUAGCCCGUCCAUUUUGUGGCUUUCUUCCUUGCUUUUGGUGGUUUGGUGUUGGUUUUUUGGUUGGCCAUCCCAGCUAGAUACACUGACAGUUAUUUCAAGAAUCUAUAUAGAAGGAUUGGAUUUUGGUGCCAUUGCCAGGCGUGGAACUGGUAUUUCUCAAAUUAAUUUUCUUGAUACUCGUUAUUUGUAUAGUUGGAGUUUUUCAUGAUUUAUGGGUUGUUUUAGCUGCUCGUUUCCCCUCCUUUUUUGGGACCAAUCUAUUUCUGCUUGAUUUUAUUUACUUCAUCUAGAUUUUUUGCCCUGGUUUUAUUUCCUCCUGUUCAGAUUUUUUAUAGGUCCAGAUCUGUUUUAGUGAUUAAGACAUGGAGUUGUUUGGACGCAAAUUUUUGCACCUGGAAUCUAUUUAUUUGGUUUUAAGUGCAUGCGAUUUCAACUGCCAUCAGAAAAUUUAGGUGUGAACUGUUAAUUAUCAGAAAGUGGUGUUACUGGUGGGGGUGCGGUGGAGCCUACUUUUGUGAUUUUGGGUUUUUAUUUUUUAUCAUUUGACCCAUACAAAAGGCUUUCUUUGGUGUGUCUUUAUGAGUUUAUUUGGUUCUCAGGAAUUGCAUCAAGUGGUUUUCAGGAUGGUGGUGAAGCAAUUAUUUAUAUGGUUUUCGGUGGUCUUAUUGAACUAUGUUCUGUUAGUUGCAUGGAAUAUGAUCUUCACAUUUAUAAUGGGAAAACCGUUUUCUGUUGUGAUUCUUCAUCCGCUGAUGGAAGUCGUCGUGAUUAUGGAUAUUAAUAAAAAUGGGUGUAAGAUUCUCAGAUGUUUUACUUGAUUUCUUGUUCAAUGGUCUCAGCUUGUGCUUGGGGGAAUUCAGGUGGACACUGGUUAUUUUAUAAGGUGUUCUGGAGGGGAAAACCUAGUCGUCGUUUACUGCAGCCACGGCCCACGCUUACGAUGUUGAUUUGUAACCUCUCUCAGACUGUGCUCAUGUAGAGCUUUUUUUUGGGUCUUUUCAUAUAAAAUGCCUUAGGUUAUUUGAUGUUUUUUUUUCCACAUGCAGAUUCGACAAGAAGAGUAAUGUGUGAUAGGGAAACUAUUGGGUCUCAGGGUGUCAUCAAUCUAUUUGUAUUUUCUAUCCUUUUACCAUCAUUUCUUAUUCCAUUCAAUUUUCCCCCUCUUUUCAGCUUCCUGCCUUUUUCCCUUUCUGUUUGCAGAAACUGUUUAUAAAAAUUGCUGUGGUGACCAUCCGAUCUUUCAAGCUUUUGUCGGCUGUUUUGGAAACUUAAGCUGCUAAUUUCAUGGUCUUCGUUUGGUUUGUUGAAAAUACUUCCUAUCCUUUUCUAUAACCCUUGAUCCAGAUGGGUACCUACUAGAUAGGGUGGCAGACUGGCAGUUGGCAUUGAUAAGAACAGAACUCUAAGUUUGGGCAAGAUUGAUGAAAUAUUGAGCUCUUCGAAGGAACACAGUUUCGCUAAUAUCGGAGGUGCAAUGACUUGUUUUCGUAACAUUCUUUCCUAGUAUUUUUGAGCACUCGGGUUUCAAUGUUAUCAUAUUUCUAAUAUAUACUGAUCCAUUACCCUUUUUUGAGCAAGCACCCUUUAUAGUUGGAUAUGAUGUUUCUAUCUAUAUUUCCAUUUUCUUCUCUACUUCUGUAGAGAACUACCCUACGUUAGUAGACGGCGACAGUUCAAUCUACUACAACUUUUGUAGCAUUGAAAUUGCAGGAUGAUGGGAGGAUUUUUUGCACCUGCUUGUUUGUAUGAAGUUCAUUCUCUCUUUCCUUGAACUCAAAUUUUACCUUCGAUUCUGCAUUUACUAAUGGAUAAGAGUAUUCACAAUUCUGCUCGUCAGUUUUCCAUGUACAUAUCUUAUCUCUGAAGGGGUAUUAUGAGAUGAGGUCAACAGGCAGACUUAUGUUUCACUUGGUUAGAACAUCUAUUCCGAAUACUUCUACUGUUUAGGCUUAGUGUUCGUAGUGAAAGGCAGUUCUGAAGCUAAAUAAUUAUUUCCUGUGGUUUGUUUAGGAUAAUAUUUUCACAUGAUAAGUUGUACUCUUAUAUUUCUAAAUAAUUUAGGUAUUCGCAGAUGAUAUUUGGGUGGACAGUGACACCAUAUGGAGAAGGGGCACGAAAUUUUCAACUCAUGUUUUUGAUCUUCAGUGAUAGUAGCAUUUGUUGUCCCCUUUGAGACGAUGGUGUUCUGUCGUGGUAACCUCUUCACGCUCGACUUUUUUUCGCUAUAAGUAGAUUUUUAUCCUUGUUUAUUUCCUCUCCCUCAGAUUCUUCUUUUUUUAGGUUGAGUUCAGUUUUCAGUGUCUGGAUUCUGCGUAGAUUAAUUUCAAAAUGCACACAACCUUGACUCUGAUUGGCAAAUUAGUCUUGUUUAGUGUAUAGUGGUGUUGCAGGUUGUGGUGAUUUGGAACCCACUCCUUCGAUCUGUUUUGCUAAGAAUGGAGUUUUAGUCCUCUGGUAUUUCAGUGUCUUGAUUGUGCAUAGAUUAAUUUCAAAAUGCACACAAGCUUGAUUCUGAUUGGCAAAUUAUGUCUUGUUUAGUGUAUAGUGGUGUUGCAGGUUGUGGUGAUUUGGAACCCACUCCUUUGAUCUUUUCUGCUAAGAAUGGAGUUUUAGUCCUCUGGUACCAUUUCUGUCAUUUGAUCCUAACAGAAGGCUUCCUUUGGUAGUUUUAUACAUUGCUUUAUUCCUUAGGAAUUUGCAGUUUUAAGCGGUUGAUGGUGGGGAAAACAACGCCGUUAAUUGUUUGCUGUGGUUUGUUAUAAAUGACGUUUCUGUGAGUUGAUUGGAAUAUAAUCUUCACAUACAUAUUGGUACAGAAUCUGGUUUCCUUUGGUGUUUCAUCCACAGCUGGAAAUCGUUUUGGUCAAAUAAAAAUGGAUAUUUACGGAAUAAACGGUGUAAGAUUUUCCUUUCUUUUUCUUCACUCAUUUCUGGUUCAUCAGUCUCAGUUGUGUAUUGGGGGAGUUCAUGUGGAGUUUGAUCAGUUUACAAAGACCAAGGCCAUGUUAAGGGGAACUUAUUCAUUGUUCACUGCAGCUACAUGUGUAUUGGUAAAUUGUAAUCUUUCUUAGUCUUUGCUCUAACAUGAAAUGGAAUCUAGUUUUUUUAGUCUUUUAAAUCACCUUAGGUUCUCUGAUGUGCUUCUGCAUUUGCUGAUAGAUUCGACUGGAAGAGGAUGACACAUGUAACUGAUAAGGUGUUAAGUUUAUGUGUGGUGUUAGUUUAUGAUUUUGUUGGCCUUUGUACCUAUAGUUUGUUCUUGUAGACAAGGCCUUCAACUUGAAAGGAAGGAAUUCAUUUGAACUUAUUGGGGCACCUGCAUGGGUCAGGAAUAGUAAAGUGGUUUUCAGGACAGUGGAGCCAAUAUUGUUAAUUUUUUGUUGUGGUUUGUUUUAAUGAUAUAUUUUUAAGAGUUGUUUGGAAUGUGAUUCUCACUUCAUAUUGGUACAGAAUCUGGUUUUCUUUGGUGCUUUUUCAUCCACAGCUGGAAAUCCUUUGGUCAAAUAAUAUUCGAUUCUUAUGGAGGAAAGGGUGUAAAAUUCUUCUCUUUUCUUUGCUCAUUUCUGGUUCAUCAGUUUCAGUGUGUGCAUUGGGGUUGUUUAUGUGGAGUCUGAUCAUUUUACAAGGUCUGAGCUGUGAAGGGAAACUAUUUUGCGGCUACAUUCACAUUGGCGAUUACAUCUAUCUUUGCUCUACAUGAACUGGAAUCUGGACUCUCUUCAGUUUAGUAUAAAAUGCCUUAAGGUUUUUGAUGUUCCUCCGUGUGCAGUUAGCUUUGAUGGGGAGAGGAUGACACAUGAAUCAGGUAACUAAUAAGGUGUUAGCUUUGUGUGUGUUGGUUUAUGAAUUAGGUAGUUCUCUCUGCAUUUCUGGACCUUCAACUUGCAAGGAAAGAAUUCGUUGGAACAAACUUCUUGUCAGGGAUCUUCUUGUUGGAUAGAUGAAACAACAUACUAUUUAUAAAAGAUUAAGCUCCCUCGAUACUGUCCAUCUGUUUGAAAUUAUCAAUAGUUGUAGUUAUAUCAUGAAUUGUCCUCUAUAUUAAAGUCUGGCAUUGUACUGCACAGGAAUUUCCAAUAUAGCUUGAUGACAGUUCCUUGGGGUCUUCUUGGAUGUUCAGUUAUAUAAAGAUUGGUCACCAGUUGGUAACUUCCAUGCUAUGGUACUGAUAUGCACAAUGAAAAAAUUGAUUGAUUGCAUGGUAAUUUUCUAUACUGCACAUAAAUCCUUUCAUGUCAUAAUCAGAUGAUGGGUUCUUUGGACUGUUGCUUACGGGUACGGCUAUCGGGCACUAGUUCAUAUCUAAGUGUCGAAUUUUUUAUUUUCUAAAAUAUAGGAUGCAGGAACAUUUUUAAAGAGAGUCCAAAUUUCAGAUACGGAUACGUGGGUAUGUCUUUAAUAAUUCAAUUUUUUUACAAUCUAAAAUGUAAUUUUGAAUAGACCAAAAUUAUUCACAAAGAAGGAAAUAAAUAUUGAAUAAGAGGUUAAAACGAAUAAAAUAGAAUUGUGAGACAUAGUUUUCAAUUAUGAGAAUUACUAAAUGUUAUAUAAAAUAGAAAAUGAAGAAUUUGAUUGUAAUUUGGACUUCGUGAAGCAGUAAUUAGCACUAUAUUAAACUUAUUUUUAUUUUAUACAAACUAAACCUUAAAUUACCAUUAUAGAGAGAUAAAGAAGGAAAAGGAAGAAAUUGGAAAGAAAAAAUAAAUAAGAAGAAGAAGGAAGGAAAAGAAAAGGGAAAAAGUAAAGGAAAAAAAAGAAGAAGAAGCAAAAACGAUGAAGCGUUCGGUUGAAAUUUGGAGGAUCUGAUACAUAUUUCAUACCCUUACCCAUGUUGUGACGUAUCCGACACGGGUAUUUCAACUAUUUUGAAUAGUCUUGAGCAUCAGAGGCAAUUACUACAACCCUAUUUUCAACUGGCGUGUGGUCUUUAUACGUAUGCCUUGGUUUUGGUUAAUGUUAAUAUUUAAAGGUUUUAAUUAAUUUUUCUUUUUUGUAUAUCUAUCCAAUGAAGGUGUAAAAAAAAGAAUCGAAUAGAAUAGGUCCUUUCUAUUUUUUUUUUAAAUUUAUUAUUAUUAUUAUUGGGAUCUUGAAAGAAGUUUGUUGAUAUUUUUUAUUAUGGCCCCGUUUAGUACACAUUAAUGUAAAAAUGAGAAUGAAAAAUAUAGUCGUUACGGGCUCCACACAAGAGAUAGAAAGUCAAAUAUGGUGGCUUGAUGUGACGGAUAAAGGUCAUAUUUUUCAUUUUAAUGGGCAAAUAAUGAGAAACAAACGGGGACUAAAUCUUUUUGCUCCUUGAUUUUCCAGGGGAAAAAAUUUAUUGUCAUUAGAAAAUUAUUUAUUGAUUUUUUUGUUGUUGAUUAGUUUGUCAUGAACUUAUGGGGAUUUGUUCUAUAUAGAAUGCAGAUAUAAAAUCCAGGUGUAACGAUAUCAGAGUGGAUUAUUGAGGUUAUGCACUUCUAUGCGUUACUAAAAUUCAGUGCAAUUAGUUAAGCUAAGCUAGAAACGCUUGAAUUAUAUCACUUCACUGCUGUCUUGCUCUGAUAUUUUAUUUGAUCUUUCCCUUCAGUGUUUUGCUAGAUCUGUGCCACCUUCUGCUAGUAAGUUGAAGUUCUUUUGUCUCUACCUUCAUUUAUGUAAUUGAGCAUAUCAGAAUGAUAGUUGGAUGUUAAAUGAUCUAAAGGUCGGAUGAAUGAAGUAAACAUCAAGGCUCCGGAAAAAAAACGUUGUGUCGUACCUUCAAUUUCAAGAUGAUAGAAUUAGGGGAGGAUUUAUCAGAUUCUGAAUUUCCCCAUUUUCUUGGAAGUUCCGUGGUAAAAUAAAAUACCAUGGAGUUUAAAUAUCUUGAAGAAAUGAACAAAGUCUUGGGUGCUUUUGCAGUUAGUUUGGUUGAAUGAUCAAAAUCUAGUAGAUAUCUGAUGUUACAAAUUUGAAGUGCUCCUCAUUUGUUCACACACUUUUUGCUUCCGAGGUCAGUGACAUGAUCUUAGAUGGCUGUUGGGGAUGAAGUUAGAUAUUUUCUUUCCCGUUGGAUAUCAUUCUACUCUUUACUGUUAUCCUUCUUGUCCGUGGAUCCCGUGUCCGUCAGUAGUUCAUAAAGUUUUUGAUGGAGAGACUGCAUUGAAUGAGCAUGGAUCUGUAAUAGUUUCCCGGUUAUGAUGUUUUUGAGCAUCACUUUAUGCAGGUGACUUGUCCACUAAAUGUUAGUCAUAAUUGGAUUUUGUUACUUCAUGUUGUGAACAAUUUCUUUCAGGUCAUGGGUAUUCUGUGAUGGUGUAGUUGUGAGGUUGAUUACUGAGGCUGAACUAGCAAAACUUGGUUGCAGGCUCAUGUGGUUCUAUGCUGGUUAAUUCAAUGAUCAUUUUCCCCUUUUCUUUAAGGUGUUGGUAACCUCUCAGGGUGGUGGUGUGCUAGCUGCUGGAUGACGCGUCUUCCCUGGGUGACGACUGAAAGUUCGUUGCAGGUUCUCUGGAUUUAUCUGCUUUGUUUGAUCUUGUUUUCAAUUCAAUGAUUCUUCAUUUCAUCUUUGUUGAAGAUAUACAAACCAAAUUCAAUUGUUUUCAAAAAAGAUGCUACUGAUGCAGCACUGGAGAUUUAUGAUUCUUAAGGAUUUUGAAAAAGGCAGAUUGGCUUCUUUCGCUUGUGGCAUAUUCUAUUUUUAAUAAUGUGAUUGACUUUGCAUCUCUUCCUUGCACGAUUGAAUUUGCAGUUCUGCAAGGCUUCAUGGUGAUAUUCGUGAGUUGAAAUUUCUGCCUGGAUGUUUUCUAUUCUAAGUCUUGA
rnacentral:lncRNA from 1 species